UACGUAGGGUGCGAGCGUUGUCCGGAAUUAUUGGGCGUAAAGAGCUCGUAGGCGGUUUGUCACGUCUGCUGUGAAAUCCCGAGGCUCAACCUCGGGCCUGCAGUGGGUACGGGCAGACUGGAGUGCGGUAGGGGAGAAUGGAAUUCCUGGUGUAGCGGUGGAAUGCGCAGAUAUCAGGAGGAACACCGAUGGCGAAGGCAGUUCUCUGGGCCGUAACUGACGCUGAGGAGCGAAAGCGUGGGGAGCGAACGGG
rnacentral:rRNA from 1 species